rnacentral:lncRNA from 1 species
AAAGUUUGAAAAGCAAAACGAUAUUACAUCAUGGCAUCAUGCAACGAAUCAUCCUAUUUAAAUAAUAGUUUACUAUGGAAAAAAAUGGUCGUAAAGAUCGAAAACACGAUCCGGUCGUUUAAUGUUUAAUGUUAAGUACAUCAAAAAAAAAAAAAUGUUGACGUUUUUUUUUUUUUUUUUGUCAUCUAAUAAAGUGUUGACGUUGACGAGGCCUGGUUGCCAUAUUUAAAAAUUGUAAGGAUUAAUUCAGAGAAUCAAAAUAUCUCUAUACAUAUAAGAGCUGAGCUCCACUUGAAAUGAACAAGAACAAGACCAUCCAAAAAUUUCUC